CUGCAAAGAAGACACAAAGCCAGGCAUUUGUUUUGAUGCCAGCAAACUUAGAGCAAUGGACCUACAGCUGUGGAUUUCCAUAUAGACAGCAAGAACCCCACACUGAGCACAGUGCCUUGGUUUUUUUAAGCAAUGUUUCCUCAUUUUGGCUUGCACGUGUGAUGACCACUGCUUGGACUGUCUUUAAAUGGAGGCCCGGCUCGCGUUAGCGGCGCUGCUCAGGAACUUCAGGCUGGGUGUUCGAUUUUCCAACUGUCAAAACCUGAAGCGUUUUACAAGAACUGAUUCAAACGAAACUGCAAAAAACAUUGGUGCAGAUACAACUUGGUUCAAUAAAGACUGAGGCCUGCUGCUCUUGUUGUAAAAGACUGUCCUCUUACUUUGUGGGAGUGAGUCACAAGAGAACCACAAUGUAGAGCUGAACAGGCUUAUCAUCGAGAUUUAAGGCUCUCACCUACCCCAUACAUGGAUUGAAUCCUAUCAAAGAGCAAGAUUGAAAUUGAACCGUCCACAAUGGGUUUCUAAAGGGUUUUUUCACAUCGUACCAUCUGUUGGCUUUUAAGAACACACAAAAUCCUACCUGAAAUCAUACAGGUCUGCUUUGGAGGAAAGUUGCAGGUGAGAUAUCAUCAUUAGUCUGCUGGGGCUUUUGUGAAAUUGAUUUAAGAUAUAGUAGGCAUUGUCAGUUUACAAAAAAUGUGUGCGUGUUGUUACAACCCAAUAAACAUGUGAAGAAAACA